AAAUAAAAGAACUUGUAAUCCUCUAUUUGAAAAACCUUUUUUUCUUCCCAUUCUGCUUGAGAAGGCUAAUUUUCAAAGUCUGUUUCUUCUGGUGUUCUUUGAGACUUUUUCCCCCCUUCUAAGUAUUUGCAUUUGAAAUGUUAUUUGGGGGACUGAAAAAUAUUUCUUCUGUUUGCUUUCCAAAUAAUGGAACUGACUCAGAAAAAGAGUGCUGGCAUUAGCUGGAAACUCUGCUAAGUUACAAAAUCAGACGUGAUUUGUACAGCCUUGAAGUUUAGAGUUGCUUCUGGAAAUGCAUACCGUGUACCUGCCAACUCAGAUAAACGGAGACUUGUUAACGUCACUGCUGGUGGAAUAUCCUCGGUAUAUGAAGACGGAGAAAAGAAAGGAGGCCAGUGACAGCCAGUUGGGCUGCUCUAUAGUCAUUAUUCAAAAUUUGCUCCUUUGUGGGACCGAUUUUUGGACAACAGACCUUUCUGCUGGUGGUGUCUUGCGUGGUUGAAGAAGCAGUAAUGAGACGAAGGUCACAUGACUCGAUGGCAAACAUCUCCAUUUGCUUUCUUCAGUAGGAUUAACUGCUGAUAAUUAUGGAAAGGAAGAGGUUGCAAGGAGGACAUCUUUUAUUUCUCAAUUGCUCCCAUUUGAUUUUUGAGGCAUGGAUAAACAGAUCUUUUGGAUAGGAAUAAAGAAGCAGAAAGAAUAUGUGAUUUUGUUAUGAAAAAUUUCCAGUACCAUUGCAAAUGCUAUCUUCUUUUUUUUCAGGCACUAUUUUCCUUGUUGGUAAAAUAAAGAUAUUAAGUAAAUAUA